rnacentral:misc_RNA from 1 species
ACUGUGGAUUAAUUAACGUCAGCAAGCAAUAUGUUCAUUCAAUGCCUUAGUUUCUGCUAUGUUGCACUGAACAAUAGUUUUUAAUAAAUCCUUUGUCCCAGAGUGAAGAACAGAAAUGGAGCUCAACUCUCUACCUGACGAUGUGCUGCUCGAAGUACUGAGUUAUCUGGAUGAAGAUGAACUGCUGGAGAGUCGCGCCGUCUGCCGCCGUUGGAGAGAGUUGGCGCUGCACCCAUUGAUUUGGCAGGACAAGUGUAUUCAUUUUUUGAUGAGCACCGAGCUUAUUGCCAUCGCUUUCCGUCUCGUGCCACGUUUGCACAAUCUUCGGAUGAAUCUUUCAAUUCACGGCGAUGCCUGCGACGUUCUUCUGGUCACACCGACUGCUAUUUCCGAGGUCACUCUCGUGUUCGAAGCGAAGGACGCCCUGCUUGUUGCGCUGAUACUUUCAAGGCAAGCCUCUCUUGGACGGUUGAAGAAGGUAUCGUUGAGCGUGACAGAUGACAUCAUCAGGACAUCGCACCGAGGACUCCGUGCACUUCUCCUGCAGAUAUGCCAAGCUCCCGUAUUGCAAUCAAUGAGCUUGAAGUUGAACGUGGACGAUGAGGAUGUUUUGGAUGUCAUCGAAGCGAAGGUGCCUGUGCCAGCGUCUCUGAAACAACUUAUUUGCCGGGCACGCUUGGAACCUUACCUGGAGCUGCUUAUGGAAUGGCAUGCGAAUACACUGGAAGACGUGAGCCUCUCGUCCGACGGCCCGCGAUUGACGUCGCUGCUCGCCGCCAUGCCGCGCCUGCGCAAGCUGUCCUGCCCCAUGCUGACGGACAUGCAGUUGCUUCGGCAGUGCCGGUCCUUGACGUACCUGAAGCUCAACCUCAACCUCUCUUCGACGACGCGGAGGCGGUGGAGGCUGGCCUGCCGGGGGCGCGGCUCUUGCUGCGCUCGGCGGCCGCGCGCCUGGAGCACCUCAAGAUCACCUACGCGCCGUACUCGUCCCCGGACGUCGUGGACCUGCUGCUCAGCAUCGGCAGGCGGUCCGGCGUGACCGCGCUGCGCAUCCUUAGGUUCAUGAUCAUGCAGUGGGACCCGGAGAUCCGUGACAGCGAGUCCUUCGACGAGGACGAGUCCGAGAGCCCUCCGCCGCAGCUGGUGCCUCUGGCCGCCAUCCUGCCGAGGCUGCCGCUUCUCACCAGGCUGGACAUCGACAGCGAGGCCUCGGACGCCUUCCUGGACGCGCUGGACGGACAGGGUGGUGGUGUUAUGGCCAAUGCGUUCUCAGUGAGCGGUCCUCUGGCCCACUGUGCAGGUGGUGCCCCAACUGGAGCGGCUGGACAUCCGCAUGCCACGCGACUGCGCCUGCCACCACUCCUGGCUCCACGUCGAGG